UACGUAGGGGGCAAGCGUUGUCCGGAAUCAUUGGGCGUAAAGAGCGCGUAGGCGGUCCGGUAAGUCCGCUGUAAAAGUCAAGGGCUCAACCCUUGAAAGCCGGUGGAUACUGCCGGGCUAGAGUCCGGAAGAGGCGAGUGGAAUUCCUGGUGUAGCGGUGGAAUGCGCAGAUAUCAGGAGGAACACCGAUAGCGAAGGCAGCUCGCUGGGACGGUACUGACGCUGAGGUGCGAAAGCGUGGGGAGCGAACAGG
rnacentral:rRNA from 1 species